GACCCGAUGGCGGAUGGUCCGCGCCUGCUCCAGCUGUUGUCCAAAGCCAAAAUAAUUGAAGCAGGAGAAGUCGGUUCAAUUCCGGCUCGGGUCA